rnacentral:rRNA from 1 species
GGAAACCAUUGCUAAUACCCAAUGAGCCGAGAGGUAAAAAAUUUAUUGCCUGAAGAGGAGCUCGCGUCCGAUUAGUUAGUUGGUGGGGUAAAGGCUUACCAAGACGGCGAUCGGUAGCUGGUCUGAGAGGAUGAGCAGCCACACUGGGACUGAGACACGGCCCAGACUCCUACGGGAGGCAGCAGUGGGGAAUUUUCCGCAAUGGGCGAAAGCCUGACGGAGCAAUACCGCGUGAGGGAGGAAGGCCUUUGGGUUGUAAACCUCUUUUCUUAAGGAAGAAGAUCUGACGGUACUUAAGGAAUCAGCAUCGGCUAACUCCGUGCCAGCAGCCGCGGUAAUACGGAGGAUGCAAGCGUUAUCCGGAAUUAUUGGGCGUAAAGCGUCCGCAGGCGGCACUAUAAGUCUGCUGUCAAAGACCGCAGCUCAACUGCGGAAAGGCAGUGGAAACUGUAGAGCUAGAGUACGGUAGGGGUAGAGGGAAUUCCCAGUGUAGCGGUGAAAUGCGUAGAGAUUGGGAAGAACACCAGUGGCGAAAGCGCUCUACUGGGCCGUAACUGACGCUCAGGGACGAAAGCU